UUAUUUGAUUGUCGAGUAGUUGCAUAACC
rnacentral:sRNA from 1 species